GUUUGAUCCUGGCUCAGGAUGAACGCUGGCGGUAUGCUUAACACAUGCAAGUCGAACGGGGCUUUACGGAGCCUAGUGGCGGACGGGUGAGUAACGCGUGAGAAUCUGCCUACAGGUUCGGGACAACAGUUGGAAACGACUGCUAAUACCGGAUGUGCCGAGAGGUAAAAGCUUAAUGUGCCUGUAGAUGAGCUCGCGUCCGAUUAGCUAGUUGGUGAGGUAAGAGCUCACCAAGGCGAUGAUCGGUAGCUGGUCUGAGAGGAUGAUCAGCCACACUGGGACUGAGGCACGGCCCAGACUCCUACGGGAGGCAGCAGUGGGGAAUUUUCCGCAAUGGGCGCAAGCCUGACGGAGCAAUACCGCGUGAGGGAGGAAGGCUUUUGGGUCGUAAACCUCUUUUAUUGGGGAAGAAGCACUGACGGUACCCAAUGAAUCAGCAUCGGCUAACUCCGUGCCAGCAGCCGCGGUAAUACGGAGGAUGCAAGCGUUAUCCGGAAUCAUUGGGCGUAAAGCGUCCGCAGGUGGUUAAUCAAGUCUGCUGUUAAAGCGUGCGGCUUAACCGCAUAUCGGCAGUGGAAACUGGUUGACUAGAGUUCGGUAGGGGUCACGGGAAUUCCCAGUGUAGCGGUGAAAUGCGUAGAUAUUGGGAAGAACACCAGCGGCGAAAGCGCGUGACUGGGCCUGAACUGACACUGAGGGACGAAAGCUAGGGGAGCGAAAGGGAUUAGAUACCCCUGUAGUCCUAGCUGUAAACGAUGACAACUAGGUGUUGCCCGUAUCGACCCGGGCAGUGCCGGAGCUAACGCGUUAAGUUGUCCGCCUGGGGAGUACGCACGCAAGUGUGAAACUCAAAGGAAUUGACGGGGGCCCGCACAAGCGGUGGAGUAUGUGGUUUAAU
rnacentral:rRNA from 1 species